rnacentral:tRNA from 1 species
GCCUAGCUGGCUCAGUCAGCAGAGCACGCAACUCUUGAUCUUGGGGUCGUGAGUUCAAGUCCCACGUUGGGCG